rnacentral:rRNA from 1 species
UACAGAGGGGGCAAGCGUUGUUCGGAAUUACUGGGCGUAAAGGGCGCGUAGGCGGCCUUCUAAGUCAGACGUGAAAUCCCCGGGCUCAACCCGGGAACUGCGUCUGAGACUGGAAGGCUCGAAUCCGGGAGAGGGAUGCGGAAUUCCAGGUGUAGCGGUGAAAUGCGUAGAUAUCUGGAGGAACACCGGUGGCGAAGGCGGCAUCCUGGACCGGCAUUGACGCUGAGGCGCGAAAGCGUGGGGAGCGAACAGG